AUCUUCCUUAGUUUAACUAACGGGAUUCUCAUUUCAUUCCAAACCCCAGCAUCGGCAACUUUCACAGCGCCUCCUAAAACCCUACUCCACUCACUAGUCACUCUAUACACACAAACGACCAGGCACCACUGAUCCGGCAAAAACCCUAACACAUGUCUUCUUCCAUUUCUCUGCGCCUCGCGCGCCACUUGUCAACCUCAGCCGCCACUGCUACCGCUGCUACUUCGUCAACCUCCGGCGCAUCCAUCUCUAUCUCCAAAGCAAAAUCGAAGCUGAAAUCCGAGCACGAUCCAGACAAAGCCCUUAAAAUUUACUCUUCCGUUUCUGACCAUUACACUUCCCCUUUAUCCUCUCGUUAUGCUCAGGAAUACACAGUUAAACGCCUCGCCAAAUCCCACCGUUUCUCGGACAUCGAAGUAUUCCUCGAGUCGCACAAAAAUGACAAGAAAAUCACCGAAGAGCCCUUCCUUUCCUCGAUCAUCCGUUCCUAUGGAAUUGCCGGAAUGUUUGAUCAUGCGCUUAAGACUUAUCAUCAAAUGGACGAUUUAGGCACCCCCAGAUCAGUUGUUUCGUUUAACGUGCUUCUUUCUGCUUGUGUUAACUCGAAACUAUAUGAUCGUGUACCCCAGCUGUUCGAUGAAAUGCCAAAGAAGCACAGAUUCUUACUCGACAAAAUUUCAUAUGGUGUAUUGAUUAGGUCAUUUUGUGAAAUGGGGAAAACUGAAUUGGCAAUGGAGAGACUUAAGGAGAUGGAAGAGAAAGGUGUGGAGGUUACGGUGGUUAUUUACACGACGAUACUGCAUUCGUUGUAUAAGGGCGGGAAGAGCGAUGAUGCUGAGAGGAUUUGGAAUGAGAUGGUGAAGAGAGGUUGUGGACCGGAUGUUGGUGCUUAUAAUGUUAAGAUUAUGAACUUUCAGGGUGGUGAUCCUGAGAGAGUGAAAGGAUUAAUUGAGGAAAUGAGCAAUGCAGGUUUAAAGCCCGAUACAAUUAGUUACAAUUACUUGAUGUCUUGUUACUGUAGGAAUGGGAUGAUGGAUGAGGCUGAGAAGGUUUAUGAGGAUUUGGAGACAAAUGGGUGCAAUCCAAAUGCUUCAACUUUUAGGACUUUGAUAUUCUAUUUGUGUAGGAGUGAGCGGUUCGAGGCAGGGUAUAGAGUGUUCAGGGAGAGUGUGACAGCAAACAAGAUUCCGGAUGUCAAUACACUCAAGUAUUUGGUGCAUGGUUUGGUGAACAGUUCAAAGGUGAAAGAUGCAAAAGAGAUGAUUAGGAUAAUGAAGAAGAAGUUCCCUCCUAAUGUGGUGAAAGUCUGGAUCAAGUUAGAGCACGAGCUCGGUUUAGCUAAAGCUGAAGACAGUGGUAUCAAAUCUAAUGAUACUAAUGUUGCUUAGUUAUGAUUCUUGUUUGUGGUAGCUGGAAGCAUUAUUACAGCUUUAUAGUUGUUGAAGGACUUUACAUGAUUGAAUUUGUUUAUCUAUUAUAAAGAUAUAACAAGAGAUCCUGAAUUCUGAAACAUGAAAUCCCUCUGGUUUUAGUUUCAUCAGCUAUGACGUCUUUGAGGCAUGCAGCAAAUCCAUCCUUUAAUGUGGUAACUUCCUCCCCUCUUUAAGUACCUUAUUGAGAGACACAACAUUCCAACUUAAAGUUUCAGAUGUAUGGAUUACUUUUUUCUGGUUUGGAGAUUGUGCUAUGUUUGUGAGCCUUAUGUUUUA